ACGAGAUGGGGAACUUGCAAAUCUUAGGAUAGAGAUAGAGUGACUUGGCUAAUGGUGGGCGUUUUUUAAACAACAACAACGCACCCGCAACCAUGACGCCACUUUUUCAGAUCCACAAUCUAUUUGUUACUACUUUCUUUCCUUCUUUCCUUACUAUGGCGAUCCUCCAAUAGACCAAAACACACUACUGUCCCAUUCACUAUACAAACAAACACCAAUUAUGGAGUCCGAACUCAAAGACCUCAAUCCCAAACCAAUCUCCCAACAACAACAACAACAACAACAACAAACACUUCCCGAACCCAUCGACGAUCGCUCCACCAAAGACGACUAUCCCCUCCUCCUCAAGCCCGCCGUCAACAUCGAAGAGCUGGAGAAGAAAUUCGCUGCCUACGUCCGCAACGAUGUCUACGGCACGAUGGGCCGCGGCGAGCUUCCCUGGGCCGAGAAGUUCCUGCUCGGAAUCGCCCUAUUGACGCUCGUCCCCAUCCGCGUGGUCGUCUCACUCACGAUUUUGGUGGUCUACUACUUGAUUUGUAGGGUUUGUACUCUAUUCUCGGCGCCUAAUCGGGAGGAGGAGGAUCAGGAGGAUUACGCUCACAUGGGAGGGUGGAGGAGGGCCGUGAUUGUUCGGUCCGGGAGGUUUCUUGCGAGGGUCAUGCUUUUCGUUCUAGGGUUUUAUUGGAUUAAUGAAACUUAUCGGAAUCUAGACAUCUCUGAGACUGAGUGCAAUGAUCUAUCUGAAGAACCUAAAAGACCUGGGGCUAUCAUAUCUAACCAUAUAUCUUAUUUGGAUAUAUUAUACCACAUGUCUUCCUUCUUCCCAAGUUUUGUUGCUAAGAGAUCAGUGGCUAAACUUCCUCUAGUUGGUCUCAUAAGCAAGUGCCUCGGUUGUGUUUUUGUUCAACGGGAGUCAAAGUCAUCCGACUUCAAGGGUGUUUCUGCUGUUGUCAAUGAAAGAGUUCGAGAAGCUCAUCAGAAUAAGUUUGCUCCAAUGAUGAUGCUUUUCCCAGAGGGUACAACCACAAAUGGAGACUUCCUCCUUCCUUUUAAGACUGGUGCAUUUCUUUCGAAAGCUCCAGUGCUUCCAGUGAUUUUAAGAUAUCCAUACCAAAGAUUCAGUCCUGCCUGGGACUCCAUAUCUGGGGUGCGCCAUAUUAUGUUACUUCUCUGUCAAUUUGUAAAUUACCUCGAGGUUACCAGGUUACCUGUCUACAGCCCUUCACAACAGGAAAAGGAUGAUCCAAAACUUUAUGCUGAAAAUGUCCGAAGGUUGAUGGCUCGUGAGGGUAAUCUGACAAUGUCAGAUAUUGGUUUGGCAGAGAAACGAAUAUAUCAUGCUGCUCUCAACGGCAGUAAUAAUAGACUGCCUAGUGUUUUGCAUCGGAAAGACGAUUGAUAACAUCAUGGCCUCGCCCUCAAAAGAUAUCUAGCCCCAGUUGGGUUUCUUAGUCCCCUUGGUUUGUUUUGCCAACAGUAAUUCGGAUUCGUCAUCUGUAUAAUCAUUGUAUGAGUAUUAUAUACAAAGAGGAAUAGCUAAUUUUAAAUAUAGAAAAUUGUGCUCAUACAAGCAUAACAGAUGAAAAAUGCAAUCUGUUUGGACUUGGGAUUGCUUGGCAUUCCCCAAGCUGGACUUUCUGAUGUUUCUGCAUUUGCUUUUUUUGUUAAUAGAGAAGUGGGGUUAUUUUGGUUUAAGUGGCUUGGGUAUGUAUGUCUUCAAUAGCUGUUUCCAGCAUUUUGACCAUUGAUGUAUUGUAUCUCAUGGUUUCACUUCCUCCUCAAGAAGCUGCAAUUUUGCUUACAAAUGGUCUUUCAAUGCAGAAAUUAUCACAUGGAUUCGGAACACCAUUUGGCUGUCCGACCAGUGGUGUUUUGUGAUUUGUUCACUUUUAUUUGUUUUUCAGAUUUCGUAAGCAUAUAGCUCAUGUUAUUGAACAGACAACCAACAUAAUUUUCCAAGAAAACAUGAUAAUUACUCGACAUGGUAUGGGUUAUUGGAGGAUGUGUUUGGGUGUUGGUGCUUUUUCCGAGUCGAGAGCUUCUUAUGGUGGAUCUAGGUAUGGAGAUAUAUCAAUCAUAUCAAUGUCAUUCUCCUAAGAAUGGAGCCAAGUUCAUGGUUUCGAGAAGUUAUUUCAUAUCCCUUUUGUUCAAUCUGUGAUCUAUAGAGCUGGUGAAAUUCAAUGAUUUGUUGUUAGGGGUGGGGCAGACAAAGGGAGCUAAAUGAAUGAUGAUUGGUGUGUGGCAUGUGACUUAGUGCUCCAAAAGGCAUUGAAUAAUUUUCCUACAGUUUCAUUUGUUGUAUGUAUUUGUGUCUUUUCGACUA